UGCCUUCGGGAACCGUGAGACAGGUGCUGCAUGGCUGUCGUCAGCUCGUGUUGUGAAAUGUUGGGUUAAGUCCCGCAACGAGCGCAACCCUUAUCCUUUGUUGCCAGCGGUCCGGCCGGGAACUCAAAGGAGACUGCCAGUGAUAAACUGGAGGAAGGUGGGGAUGACGUCAAGUCAUCAUGGCCCUUACGACCAGGGCUACACACGUGCUACAAUGGCGCAUACAAAGAGAAGCGACCUCGCGAGAGCAAGCGGACCUCAUAAAGUGCGUCGUAGUCCGGAUUGGAGUCUGCAACUCGACUCCAUGAAGUCGGAAUCGCUAGUAAUCGUGGAUCAGAAUGCCACGGUGAAUACGUUCCCGGGCCUUGUACACACCGCCCGUCACACCAUGGGAGUGGGUUGCAAAAGAAGUAGGUAGCUUAACCUUCGGGAGGGCGCUUACCACUUUGUGAUUCAUGACUGGGGUGAAGUCGUAACAAGGUAACCGUAGGGGAACCUGCGGUUGGAUCAC
rnacentral:rRNA from 2 species